UACGGGGGGGGCGAGCGUUGUUCGGAAUUAUUGGGCGUAAAGGGAGCGUAGGCGGUGCGGUAAGACUGGUGUGAAACCUUCAGGCUUAACUUGGAGCUUGCAUCAGUGACUGCCGUGCUAGAGUGCGGGAGAGGAUAGUGGAAUUCCCGGUGUAGUGGUGAAAUGCGUAGAUAUCGGGAAGAACAUCGGUGGCGAAGGCGGCUAUCUGGACCGUAACUGACGCUGAGGCUCGAAAGCUAGGGGAGCAAACAGG
rnacentral:rRNA from 1 species